CGAACGGGCCUUUCAGGCAUCCUCUCCUAAAAACUUUCCGGGCCGGUCUUCGUGAUCGGCCCUUUUUUUGUGCCGUC
rnacentral:sRNA from 1 species